rnacentral:rRNA from 1 species
UCCUACGGGUGGCAGCAGUGGGGAAUUUUGGACAAUGGGCGCAAGCCUGAUCCAGCAAUGCCGCGUGCAGGAAGAAGGCCUUCGGGUUGUAAACUGCUUUUGUACGGAACGAAACGGUCCUGGUUAAUACCCGGGGCUAAUGACGGUACCGUAAGAAUAAGCACCGGCUAACUACGUGCCAGCAGCCGCGGUAAUACGUAGGGUGCAAGCGUUAAUCGGAAUUACUGGGCGUAAAGCGUGCGCAGGCGGUGCUGUAAGACAGGCGUGAAAUCCACGGGCUUAACCUGGGAACUUCACUUGUGACUGCAAAGCUGGAGGGCGGCAGAGGGGGAUGGAAUUCCGCGUGUAGCAGUGAAAUGCGUAGAUAUGCGGAGGAACACCGAUGGCGAAGGCAAUCCCCUGGGCCUGCACUGACGCUCAUGCACGAAAGCGUGGGGAGCAAACAGGAUUAGAUACCCUUGUAGUCAC